UAACACAUGCAAGUCGAACGGACCCUUCGGGGUUAGUGGCGGACGGGUGAGUAACACGUGGGAACGUGCCUUUAGGUUCGGAAUAGCUCCUGGAAACGGGUGGUAAUGCCGAAUGUGCCCUUCGGGGGAAAGAUUUAUCGCCUUUAGAGCGGCCCGCGUCUGAUUAGCUAGUUGGUGAGGUAAUGGCUCACCAAGGCGACGAUCAGUAGCUGGUCUGAGAGGAUGACCAGCCACAUUGGGACUGAGACACGGCCCAAACUCCUACGGGAGGCAGCAGUGGGGAAUCUUGCGCAAUGGGCGAAAGCCUGACGCAGCCAUGCCGCGUGGAUGAUGAAGGUCUUAGGAUUGUAAAAUCCUUUCACCGGUGAAGAUAAUGACUGUAGCCGGAGAAGAAGCCCCGGCUAACUUCGUGCCAGCAGCCGCGGUAAUACGAAGGGGGCUAGCGUUGCUCGGAAUUACUGGGCGUAAAGGGAGCGUAGGCGGACAUUUAAGUCAGGGGUGAAAUCCCGGAGCUCAACUUCGGAACUGCCUUUGAUACUGGGUGUCUUGAGUGUGAGAGAGGUAUGUGGAACUCCGAGUGUAGAGGUGAAAUUCGUAGAUAUUCGGAAGAACACCAGUGGCGAAGGCGACAUACUGGCUCAUUACUGACGCUGAGGCUCGAAAGCGUGGGGAGCAACCAGGAUUAGAUACCCUGGUAGUCCACGCCGUAAACGAUGAUUGCUAGUUGUCGGGGAGCUUGCUCUUCGGUGACGCAGCUAACGCAUUAAGCAAUCCGCCUGGGGAGUACGGUCGCAAGAUUAAAACUCAAAGGAAUUGACGG
rnacentral:rRNA from 1 species